rnacentral:rRNA from 1 species
CACCGCCCGUCACACCAUGGGAGUCGAUUGCUCCAGAAGUGCCUGAGCCAACGCAAGAGGCAGGCCCAAGGAGUGAUCGGUAACUGGGGUG